GCGUGUGAUAAAUUUGGCUGAAAGUACUGUAGCGCUGCUGAAAUUACUGUAGCAUAUAAAUACCAAAUUUUUUUCCUGAUUUUCUUUUCCACUCCUCACCGUACCCUAGCUAAAGCCUCUGCUGCGGAGAGUUCCACGCCCAUCCGAGAUUGAUGAAGGAAGACCUACAUCGGUCCGACGCCGGCGAAGAGCCCAGGUGACAAAUCCAUCUAUCGGAAGACAACACCAGUCCGACGCCGGCGUCUUCUCUCCCUUCCAGAAACCGAUUUCACCCUUUUCCCUCCGUCCCUCGAGCUCCGACCCAUGGCACAUCUCUUCCCAUAAAUAUAUGGGAAUGUAAAUUGUUCCGACCCGCAAGAUUGUUGGUUUUAUCUGCAAAUGGAUGUCAUAUUACCCAGUACUGAAGUGCCCACAAUUUAAUUGUUUCAGUUAACCAUUGAAAGUGUUCAGAAGGCUGGCAAUGGUUGAUAAGAAAAUGAAAGAUGUUUGAGGGGAAGGUGUUGGGAAAUGAUCUCGUUGAAGAAGAGAGGGAACUUUCUAAGUCUUCAACUAAUAAGGUGCUUGGUUAUAUACUGAGACAGCUUCUCCCUUUUACUUUCUAAGGACUACAAUGGAACUUUCUCUAUAUGUUUAAAAGAUUUAAAUGGUGUAUACUGUUCUUGAAAAGGGGUUUGCUAUCAAUCUAUUUGCUAGACGCCUUGUAACUUCUUGUCAUGGCAUUCCCUUGGGCUAAAUAAGAGUGAAGUUUUUUAUUGAUUGAAGUUUUCUGCUGCUAUCUGCAGUGUCUUUGCUUCAGCACUCUCCGGUUUUUGAAGAAAGUUGUUUAGCAAGAAUGUUGAUGACAAAUAUUUGUGGGCACAAGCUUUGACCGGUUUGCAAACUAGCAUUAAUAGCGAAAUUAGAAAUUUAUAUUCAACUGCAAGAUUUACAGUUUUGAAAGAGCUCGAAGCAGUUCAUACAAGUGUAAAGAAAUUGUAUCCCAUGAUCCAAGAUGGUGUGGACUUUCAGAGGGACUAGAUCUCCGUACAAACCAAUAUGAUGGCUUUUUUCAUGUAGUUUUAAUUGGGCGUGAUGCUUUGCUCUAUAAUGUUAGAGAGAGUAGUAGUGUCUUUGACCCAAAGCUAGGUUGCAAAGUAGUAGAAAGAGUACAAUCUUAAUUGUUUAGGGCUUGAUGUACAUUUUUUUGUAUUUGAUAUUAUUCUAUUGAUUCUUUUCUAUUUGAUAUUAUUCUGCCUGAAUGGCUUUUUUUUA